rnacentral:rRNA from 1 species
GGGAUUGCCCCAGUAACGGCGAGUGAAGCGGCAACAGCUCAAAUUUGAAAUCUGGCCCCCCGGGUCCGAGUUGUAAUUUGUAGAGGAUGCUUUUGGCGAGGUGCCUUCCGAGUUCCCUGGAACGGGACGCCAUAGAGGGUGAGAGCCCCGUCUGGUCGGACACCGAGCCUCUGUAAAGCUCCUUCGACGAGUCGAGUAGUUUGGGAAUGCUGCUCAAAAUGGGAGGUAUAUGUCUUCUAAAGCUAAAUACUGGCCAGAGACCGAUAGCGCACAAGUAGAGUGAUCGAAAGAUGAAAAGCACUUUGAAAAGAGGGUUAAAAAGUACGUGAAAUUGUUGAAAGGGAAGCGCCUAUGACCAGACUUGGGCCCGGUGAAUCAUCCAGCGUUCUCGCUGGUGCACUUUGCCGGGCACAGGCCAGCAUCAGUUUGGCGCGGGGGAUAAAGGCUUUGGGAAUGUGGCUCCCUCGGGAGUGUUAUAGCCCACUGCGCAAUACCCUGCGCCGGACUGAGGCACGCGCAUCGCAAGGAUGCUGGCGUAAUGGUCAUCAGCGACCCGUCUUGAAACACGGACCAAGGAGUCGUCUUCGUAUGCGAGUGUUCGGGUGUCAAACCCCUACGCGUAAUGAAAGUGAACGCAGGUGAGAGCUUCGGCGCAUCAUCGACCGAUCCUGAUGUUCUCGGAUGGAUUUGAGUAAGAGCAUACGGGGCCGGACCCGAAAGAAGGUGAACUAUGCCUGUAUAGGGUGAAGCCAGAGGAAACUCUGGUGGAGGCUCGCAGCGGUUCUGACGUGCGAAUCGAUCGUCAAAUAUGGGCAUGGGGGCGAAAGACUAAUCGAACCUUCUAGUAGCUGGUUUCCGCCGAAGU